UAGAUUGGUCAACUCUCAUGCCACCGCUUGAAGCGACAUGCUUCCUUCCUCCUCGCACGUUGUGUCUUUAAAGCGAGCUUCGAGUUGAUGGAAGUGAAGGAAAUCCGACUUCGAUCAGAUUUCAAGUUUCUCAGUUCUCACCGUUUAAUCAACAUCUGAAUACGCUUGACAGCGCUCGACACAUAUAUGGUUGUUCUUGUUCCAUGGAUGAAUUUCGUGGCUCCGAAUCCCCAAAGAAGGAUGAUUCACUUGAUCAUAACCUAACCAUGCGCACAGCUCCAUCAUUUUGAUAUCUACAACUGCAAUCAAGGGUUCGGAGAUGGAGAUAACGACGCGGAAGGGUUUUUAGAGAGAACCAUUACUAUUGGACAGGGGAUAGAAGCCUUGGGUAGUCGUGAGUUUAGCUUCGGUAAGAAGGAGAUGGACUUGAUUGAGGAGGAAGGGGAGAGUGAGAAGGAUGAUUUCAAUGAGAUUUGGAAAUCGGGGGUUCAGGAGGAUGUUGAACCGGCUAGCCCCCCAAUGUAUUUAGCAGCAAACCUUGGGGUUGACGGAACUAGGUUUGGCUUUCAUAGCUUUCCUAUUGAUGAUUUAUGUCUGCCAGACUUGGAUGGAAGCGGCGAUGUUGAAGCGAACUAUAGGAGAAUGGUUGAUGAGUAUCCUUGCCACCCUUUGAUUUUGAGAAAUUAUGCCCAGAUUUUACAAUCUAAGGGAGACCUUGACAUGGCUGAGGAGUAUUUUCUGCGUGCUACUCUAGCAGAUCCGAAUAAUGGUGAAAUCUUAGUGCAGUUUGCUAAGCUGGUUUGGGAUCUCCAUCGUGACAAGCAAAGAGCGUUAGAGUAUUUUGAACGUGCAGCUCAAGCUGCCCCUCCAGACAGCCAUGUUCUUGCGGCAUAUGCCAGUUUCCUCUGGGAAAUAGAAGAUGAUGAUGAUGAAGGUGGAAUACAUGACACUAACAGCAAGGUGCAGAAUGAUAACAAUGAACAAAAGUUUAAAUUUAUCAAUCCCCUGAAACGAGAUGAUCAACCAGCUAGCCUUUUCCUGAACCCUGAAGCAGGACAAGAUAUUGGUGCAGCAGAUUUUACGGCAGCUAACUAUGGCAAAGAUACGAAUAUUGAGGACUACUACUGGAAGAUGAUUGAUGAAAAUCCUACCAACCCUGUGUUUCUGAAGAGUUAUGCUCGGUUUCUGAUUCAGGUGAGAUAUUCAAAAGGAGACCUUCAUGGGGCUGAAGAGUUCCUUUCUCGUGCCACACUAGCAGAUCCGGAUGAUGGUAAAAUCUUGAUGCAGCAUGCUCAGCUACUGUGGGAGCUACAUCAAGAUAGGGAUAAAGCAUUGACCUAUUUUGAACGUGCAGCCCAAGCUUCUCCUUUAGAUAGUGAUGUUCUAGCAGCACGUGCUAGUUUUCUCUGGGAAAUUGAAGAUGGUGAGGAAGAAGGUGGAAAACAACAAAGCAACAGUAAGGAGAAGGGAGCACAUGAACAUGACAAAAUCAAGGAUGAUGCAACAGAUCUUACUCUGGCUAACUAUGGAAAAGAUGGCAGUGUUGAAGACUAUCAUAAGAUGAUUGAUGAAAAUCCUAAUAACUCUUCCAUUCUGAAAAGUUAUGCUCAGUUUCUGAUUCAGGUCUGUCAAGUAAUGGAUAUUUCUGAAGGGAUUGUUGUUAGCCAAAUCUGCGAGUUUUAAGUGGCCAAUGGACUCAUGCUUCUGAAUUUUGGUGACUGCGUCAAUACACUAACUCUUUUUCUUCCAACUUUUCUUUUGGGGAUGUGGGAAUGGGAAGAGGGGUAUAAUAUAUGUUAUAAUGUUACUGGUAAAUGCUCAGCCAAGACACUCUUUUAGGGCUUUAUAAAACAUAUUUUCUCUCUACAGUUUCUGGGCAAUAUGUUUUAAGAAGAUAAACAACGAAAGAGGCAAAAACUAUGAUUAGUUAGUUGAAACACUCUAGCAAUGAAACAAAAUUUCAAAGAAGGACGAGGUUUGGACUUUGGACUGCCUCCAAGUAUAAUUGAGUCCAGAUUUUCUCAUGCUCGAGAACUUCUCUCGUUGGGGUGAUCUCCCCACCACACGCACACUGUGUAGGACCCACACAGGUGGGCUCCACUGAGCCAUUCCCAUUGUGUCACUCUCUUUUAUGAAGGGUCUCCUAAACAUGAAAGAAUCUGGACUAUUGUCCCAGAGGGGAAGAGGAGGAACCAUUGCACAUGCCUAACUGAAACGCCCUUGAUGGCAAUAACUUGGACCAAGAAUGACCAUCAGGCAGCAGAAAAAUACUAUUCGCGUGCAAUCUUAAUUGAUCCUUGUGAUGGUGAAAUGAUCUCGGAAUAUGCAAAACUGGAGUGGCAACUUCAUCAUGACUGGAGAAAAGCGUUAACAUAUU